UAGUCAACCUCGCCUGGAGACCAGAAUAACCCCGGGAAACUGGGAUUAAUACUGGAUAGGUCAUCUCAUCUGGAAGGAGAGAUGGCUUAAAGGGGUGUGUGAGCUUCUUUCAUACAGCUGCUCCAGGAUGGGACUGCGACUGAUCAGGCUGUUGGCGGGGUAAUGGCCCACCAAACCAGUAACCAGUACGGGCCUUGAGAGAGGGGGCCCGGAGAUGGACACUGAGAGAAGGGUCCAGGUCCUACGGGGCGCAGCAGGCGCGAAACCUUCGCAAUGCGCGAAAGCGUGACGAGGUUAAUCCGAGUGGUUCCCGCUGAGGGAAUCUUUUGU
rnacentral:rRNA from 1 species